AACGUAGGAGGCGAGCGUUGUCCGGAUUCAUUGGGCGUAAAGAGCGCGCAGGCGGCUUGGUAAGUCGGAUGUGAAAUCCCCGAGGCUCAACCUCGGGUCUGCAUCCGAUACUGCCCGGCUAGAGGUAGGUAGGGGAGAUCGGAAUUCCUGGUGUAGCGGUGAAAUGCGCAGAUAUCAGGAGGAACACCGGUGGCGAAGGCGGAUCUCUGGGCCUUACCUGACGCUCAGGCGCGAAAGCUAGGGGAGCGAACUGG
rnacentral:rRNA from 1 species